AGCUUGGCAAAGUUGUUGUUUUCAAUGACUCUAGUUUUUGGAAAAUAAAAUAGGGUUAUGUAUUGGGCAAUUUUAGGAAUUUGAUAAUAGAUCUAUAAGUGAAUUUUUUUGGAUUUGUGGGUGUAGUUGUGCUUGAUGUGUAUUGUGAAUUUGGAUUUGAUCAAACAAUUAGAUUAAAAAGCAUGAAGGUUUUUGUGAAUUAUG
rnacentral:lncRNA from 1 species